CAGGGUGGCAAUACCGCUGACGACCGGCGCACGGGUGAGUAACACGUAUCCAACCUUCCCAUAACUCGGGGAUAGCCUUUCGAAAGAAAGAUUAAUACCCGAUAGUACUUUUUCAAGGCAUCUUGAGAAAGUUAAAGAUUUAUUGGUUAUGGAUGGGGAUGCGUUCCAUUAGAUAGUUGGUGAGGUAACGGCUCACCAAGUCUUCGAUGGAUAGGGGUUCUGAGAGGAAGGUCCCCCACAUUGGUACUGAGACACGGACCAAACUCCUACGGGAGGCAGCAGUGAGGAAUAUUGGUCAAUGGGCGAGAGCCUGAACCAGCCAAGUAGCGUGAAGGAUGACGG
rnacentral:rRNA from 1 species